rnacentral:rRNA from 1 species
GACGAACGCUGGCGGCGCGCUUAACACAUGCAAGUCGAACGGAAAGGCCUGCUUUCCCUUGUGGAUUGCGGGUACUCGAGUGGCGAACGGGUGAGUAACACGUGAGUGAUCUGCCCCCAACUUGGGUAUAAGCCUGGGAAACUGGGUCUAAUUCCCGAUAGGACUGCAGGGUGGUGCCUGUGGUGGAAAACGAUUUUCUAGUGGUUGGUGAUGAGCUCGCGGCCUAUCAGCUUGUUGGUGGGGUAAUGGCCUACCAAGGCGGCGACGGGUAGCCGGCCUGGGAGGGUGGACGGGCACAUUGGGACUGGGAUACGGCCCAGACUGCUACGGGAGGCAGCAGUGGGGAAUAUUGCACAAUGGGCGGAAGCCUGAUGCAGCGACGACGCGUGGGGGAUGACGGCCUUCGGGUUGUAAACUCCUUUCGACCGCGAGGAAGCCACCUGGUUGGAAGGGUGGUGACGGUAGUGGUAGAAGAAGCACCGGCUAACUACGU